GGGCGGUUAGCUCAGUGGCUAGAGCAUUCGCUUCACACGCGAGGGGUCGGGGGUUCAAAUCCCUCACUGCCCACCA
rnacentral:tRNA from 1 species